rnacentral:rRNA from 1 species
GGAGGAAUAUUGCACAACGGGGGGAACCCAGGUGCAGCAACGCCGCGUGAGUGAAGAAGGCCUUCGGGUUGUAAAACUCUUUUCUGAGGGAUGAGGAAGGACAGUACCUCAGGAAUAAGUCUCGGCUAACUACGUGCCAGCAGCCGCGGUAAGACGUAGGAGGCGAGCGUUAUCCGGAUUUACUGGGCGUAAAGGGCAAGUAGGCGGUAGUUCAAGUCAGUUGUGACAGAUCCCGGCUCAACUGGGAGAGGACGAUUGAGACUGAGCGACUAGAGGACAGGAGAGGGGAGCGGAAUUCCUUGUGUAGCGGUGGAAUGCUCAGAUACAAGGAGGAACACCAGUGGCGAAGGCGGCUCUCUGGCCUGCACCUGACGCUGAAGAGCGAAAGCUAGGGGAGCGAACGGG